rnacentral:lncRNA from 1 species
AAAAGGCGCGGGGCGCGCGCGCCCAUUUUAGACCGCUCGGGGAGCCGUUGGCGGUUGAGACCUUCUGCCAGGCCAGAUCAGACCGGACCAGACGCGGACCCGGACACGGGAGAACAGUUAUUUUCUGAACAUGGAUUCAGGCAGCAGCAGCAGCAGCAGUAGCAGUGGCAGCAGCAGUGGCAGCUGCAGCACCAGUGGCAGUGGCAGCACCAGUGGCAGCAGCACCA